UAAUAAGUGUUUUAUGGCACUUUUUAAAUCCAUAUCCACCUUGUGCGCAAUGUCAGUCGAUCUUCUUCAUGGAGAUCGACCAAACAUCAACCUUUAUCUUUUAACUCUUUGUCUGAAAAAUAUUAUGAAUAAACAAUUCAAAAUA
rnacentral:misc_RNA from 1 species